rnacentral:lncRNA from 1 species
GGCCAGGCCGCGGGCUGUCCCAGGGAGCCCCGAGGGCGCGGUGCGCGGGCGCAGGUCGGGCGCAGGCGGGGUGACCCGGGGAAGGGGCGCGCACAGAGACAGAGGGAGCCAGCCGGGCCCCGCGGUGUCCUCGGACGCCUCCGAAAUCUCCCUGCGUGUUUGUUUCUUCGGAGCUUCACCGGAGCCUGACUCUGGACCCGGCCUGUCUGCCUGCUGCAGUCUGUCAUUCAACAUUUAUUCAACCAAAAAUACUAAGUCAGCUCUAUACAAACUAAUGGAAGGAUACAGCUAUGCAAAUACAGAAGAACACUAAACUGUUACAUGACAGAUGUAUGAGGGGAAGAGUGCUGGAUUCAGAGCCCACCUCAGGGGAAGACAGGACGCUCUCCAAGAUGGUUUCCCUAGAAGCUACUACCUCUCCCUGGAGGGUGGAGAUAUUUGCUGGUCAAAGA